CUUCAAGUAAUUCAUCAAUUAUAGUUUCCUAACUCACCUGCCACUGCUUUCCACAGAGAUUUCUGCUAGUGGGUCAUCAUUCUGGGUAAAAAAAAAAGUCAUUUUGGCCUGAACUUGAAGGAAUUCUGAGGCCGUUAUACCAGGUGGAAGAAAUAGCUAGCAUCUGGGAGAAAGAAAUUAGAAAUAAUUAAGAUGAGUCAACAUCUGUACACAAAGGAUAGCGACCAUUCAGCAAGGCUGCCGCUGUUUCCUAUGGUGAAGUACUGAAAAUGUCAGCAGGACUUAACACAGAGGUGAACUCUACAUU